AGCGAACGCUGGCGGCAGGCCUAACACAUGCAAGUCGAACGAACCCUUCGGGGUUAGUGGCGGACGGGUGAGUAACACGUGGGAACGUGCCUUUAGGUUCGGAAUAACUCAGGGAAACUUGUGCUAAUACAGAAUGUGCCCUUCGGGGGAAAGAUUUAUCGCCUUUAGAGCGGCCCGCGUCUGAUUAGCUAGUUGGUGAGGUAAUGGCUCACCAAGGCUACGAUCAGUAGCUGGUCUGCGAGGAUGACCAGCCACAUUGGGACUGAGACACGGCCCAAACUCCUACGGGAGGCAGCAGUGGGGAAUUUUGCGCAAUGGGCGAAAGCCUGACGCAGCCAUGCCGCGUGGAUGAUGAAGGUCUUAGGAUUGUAAAAUCCUUUCACCGGUGAAGAUAAUGACUGUAGCCGGAGAAGAAGCCCCGGCUAACUUCGUGCCAGCCGCCGCCGUAAAAC
rnacentral:rRNA from 1 species